rnacentral:rRNA from 1 species
UACGGAGGAUCCAAGCGUUAUCCGGAAUUACUGGGCGUAAAGAGUUGCGUAGGUGGCAUAGUAAGCAGACAGUGAAAGCGUGUGGCUCAACCAUACUCACAUUGUCUGAACUGCUAAGCUUGAGUAUAGGAGAGGUGGCUGGAAUUCCCUGUGUAGGAGUGAAAUCCGUAGAUAUAGGGAGGAACACCAAUGGCGUAGGCAGGCCACUGGCCUAUUACUGACACUAAGGCACGAAAGCGUGGGGAGCAAACGGG